rnacentral:rRNA from 1 species
AGCGAACGCUGGCGGCAGGCCUAACACAUGCAAGUCGAACGAAGCCUUCGGGCUUAGUGGCGGACGGGUGAGUAACACGUGGGAACGUACCUUUUGGUUCGGAACAACUCAGGGAAACUUGAGCUAAUACCGGAUGAGCCCUUAGGGGGAAAGAUUUAUCGCCGAAAGAACGGCCCGCGUUAGAUUAGCUAGUUGGUGAGGUAAAGGCUCACCAAGGCAACGAUCUAUAGCUGGUCUGAGAGGAUGAUCAGCCACACUGGGACUGAGACACGGCCCAGACUCCUACGGGAGGCAGCAGUGGGGAAUCUUGCGCAAUGGGCGAAAGCCUGACGCAGCCAUGCCGCCUGAAUGAUGAAGGUCUUAGGAUUGUAAAAUUCUUUUACCAGGGACGAUAAUGACGGUACCUGGAGAAAAAGCCCCGGCUAACUUCGUGCCAGCAGCCGCCGUAAGAC